ensembl:misc_RNA Y_RNA Y RNA
GGUUAUUGUCUAUAAAUAAGAAAGUCACUUCCAAGCCAACCAGAAAUAUGUAUCAAAUUGAUCACAACCAGUAACAGAUUUCUUUGUUCUUUCUCCACUCCCACUGCUUCACUUGACUAGCCUUAA